UACAGAGGUCUCAAGCGUUGUUCGGAUUCAUUGGGCGUAAAGGGUGCGUAGGCGGCGCGGUAAGUCGGGUGUGAAAUCUCGGAGCUCAACUCCGAAACUGCAUUCGAUACUGCCGUGCUUGAGGACUGGAGAGGAGACUGGAAUUUACGGUGUAGCGGUGAAAUGCGUAGAUAUCGUAAGGAAGACCAGUGGCGAAGGCGGGUCUCUGGACAGUUCCUGACGCUGAGGCACGAAGGUCAGGGAGCAAACGGG
rnacentral:rRNA from 1 species